AGUGAACGCUGGCGGUAGGCCUAACACAUGCAAGUCGAACGGCAGCACAGGAGAGCUUGCUCUCUGGGUGGCGAGUGGCGGACGGGUGAGGAAUACAUCGGAAUCUACUCUGUCGUGGGGGAUAACGUAGGGAAACUUACGCUAAUACCGCAUACGACCUACGGGUGAAAGCAGGGGACCUUCGGCCCUUGCGCGAUUGAAUGAGCCGAUGUCGGAGUAGCUAGUUGGCGGGGUAAAGGCCCACCAAGGCGACGAUCCCUAGCUGGUCUGAGAGGAUGAUCAGCCACACUGGAACUGAGACACGGUCCAGACUCCUACGGGAGGCAGCAGUGGGGAAUAUUGCACAAUGGGCGCAAGCCUGAUGCAGCCAUGCCGCGUGUAUGAAGAAGGCCUUCGGGUUGUAAAGUACUUUCAGCGGGGAGGAAGGCGGUGAAGUUAAUAGCUUCACCGAUUGACGUUACCCGCAGAAGAAGCACCGGCUAACUCCGUGCCAGCAGCCGCUGUAA
rnacentral:rRNA from 1 species